UACGUAGGGCGCAAGCGUUGUCCGGAAUUAUUGGGCGUAAAGAGCUCGUAGGCGGCCUGUCGCGUCUGCUGUGAAAUCCCGGGGCUCAACCCCGGGCGUGCAGUGGAUACGGGCUGGCUGGAGGCAGGCAGGGGAGAACGGAAUUCCCGGUGUAGCGGUGAAAUGACGCAGAUAUCGGGAGGAACACCGGUGGCGAAGGCGGUUCUCUGGGCCUUACCUGACGCUGAGGAGCGAAAGCGUGGGGAGCGAACAGG
rnacentral:rRNA from 1 species